rnacentral:rRNA from 1 species
AUUGAACGCUGGCGGCAGGCCUAACACAUGCAAGUCGAACGGUAACAGGAAACAGCUUGCUGUUUCGCUGACGAGUGGCGGACGGGUGAGUAAUGUCUGGGAAACUGCCUGAUGGAGGGGGAUAACUACUGGAAACGGUAGCUAAUACCGCAUAACGUCGCAAGACCAAAGAGGGGGACCUUCGGGCCUCUUGCCAUCGGAUGUGCCCAGAUGGGAUUAGCUAGUAGGUGGGGUAACGGCUCACCUAGGCGACGAUCCCUAGCUGGUCUGAGAGGAUGACCGUCCACACUGGAACUGAGACACGGUCCAGACUCCUACGGGAGGCAGCAGUGGGGAAUAUUGCACAAUGGGCGCAAGCCUGAUGCAGCCAUGCCGCGUGUAUGAAGAAGGCCUUCGGGUUGUAAAGUACUUUCAGCGGGGAUGAAGGGAGUAAAGUUAAUACCUUUGCUCAUUGACGUUACCCGCAGAAGAAGCACCGGCUAACUCCGUG